AGUGAACGCUGGCGGUAGGCCUAACACAUGCAAGUCGAACGGCAGCACAGUAAGAGCUUGCUCUUACGGGUGGCGAGUGGCGGACGGGUGAGGAAUACAUCGGAAUCUACUUUUUCGUGGGGGAUAACGUAGGGAAACUUACGCUAAUACCGCAUACGACCUACGGGUGAAAGCAGGGGAUCUUCGGACCUUGCGCGAUUGAAUGAGCCGAUGUCGGAUUGGCUAGUUGGCGGGGUAAAGGCCCACCAAGGCGACGAUCCGUAGCUGGUCUGAGAGGAUGAUCGGCCACACUGGAACUGAGACACGGUCCAGACUCCUACGGGAGGCAGCAGUGGGGAAUCUUGGACAAUGGGCGCAAGCCUGAUCCAGCCAUACCGCGUGGGUGAAGAAGGCCUUCGGGUUGUAAAGCCCUUUUGUUGGGAAAGAACAGCAGCAGGUUAAUCCCCCGCUGUUCUGACGGUACCCAAAGAAUAAGCACCGGCUAACUUCGUG
rnacentral:rRNA from 1 species